CAUAGGGGGUAUAAGUGUAAAUAGCCUUAACAGAAAGAUGACUCGUCAUACCAUCUUGCGGCUGCAUCCGUUCCCUCCACAAAUCUAUAUAAUCCAAAAAGAUAACAUACCAUGGGUAGCCAAUACACAAAGCUUCCUCAUGACGUAGUUCCUUUCUGUGUCGUCCUCCAUGGCUUCCUUACCUUCCGUUGCUGUCAGUGGAACUCUCCGGCUUGAACCAGACAUCAAAAUACACCCGAACACAUCUGUUGCCGCUGAUAAGAGCACGAGCAUUACUUAUCAGAAAGGGCAAAGGAUCUCUCACAAUGGAAUUGCAGAGCCAAUUGGGAAGCUAGAUUCUCGAGAAGCUCUCUCUAUGAUAAAAGAAAGCACAAAUGUUGAGCAAUCUUUCUAUAUGCCCCUCUUGCAAGGAUGCAUUGAGAAGAAUUCAGUUGCGGAAACCCAAAUCAUUCAUGCCCACAUCAUAAAAACUGAAACUUACAAAGAUUAUUAUGUGAUGACAUUCCUGGUUAAUGUUUAUGCAAAAUGUAGAGCCAUGGAGGAUGCUCGGAGAGUUUUUGAUGCAUUGACUUUGAAGAAUGUUGUUGCUUGGACGUCCUUGAUGACGGGUUACGUUCAAAAUUCACUGCCAGAAAUUGCCAUUCAAGUUUUCAAUGAAAUGUUGGAAGCCGGGGCUUAUCCUACCAAUUAUACUUUUGCAGUUGUCUUAAAUGCUUCUUCUUCACUGCAAUCUAUCAGAUUGGGGAAACAAUUUCAUGCUAACAUUAUCAAGUACCAGCUUGAUAAUGACACAAGUGUUGGGAAUUCCCUUAGCAGCUUUUACUCAAAAUGUAAAAGUUUAAAAUCCGCCGUAGAAGCCUUCAAGAGGAUUAAAGAGAAGAAUGUGAUUUCUUGGAGUACGGUAAUAUCUGCUUGUGGUGAAAAUGGUGAUGAAGCAAUGGGUUUUAGAUUUUUCACUGAGAUGCUUUGUGAGGAUAUUGAGCCUAAUGAGUUCUCCUUGACCAGUGUUUUGAGCUUGUGCGCUGUGAUGCUUUCCUUGGACGUAGGGGCACAAAUCCAUUCAUUGAGUAUCAAACUUGGCUAUGAAUCAAACCUUCGAGUCACUAACUCUGUACUGUAUUUGUACCUCAAAUGUGGGUGUAUUACUGAGGCAAGGAGAUUGUUUGACAGGAUGGAUUCUAUGAGCUUGGUCACCUGGAAUACGAUGAUUGCAGGCUAUGCUCAGACGAUGGAUCUUGCCAACGAUAAUCUUUUAGCACACUGUAGAGGAAAAGAGGCACUCAACACUUUCUUGAAAUUGAAUCGCUCUGGCAGGAAACCGGACCUAUUUACCUUCUCAAGUAUUUUAACUGUGUGUAGCAGGUUGGUGGCCUUAGAACAGGGGGAACAAAUUCAUGCUCAGACCAUCAAAACUGGAUUCUUGUCAGAUGUUGUGGUGGGAACUUCACUGAUUAACAUGUAUAGCAGAUGUGGAAGCAUUGACAAAGCAAGCAAGGCGUUUGUUGAAAUGUCUAUAAGGACUUUGAUUUCUUGGACAAGUAUGAUUACAAGUUAUGCACAGCACGGCCGGUCUCAGCAGGUGCUGCAGCUCUUUGAAGACAUGAGACUAUCAGGAGUGAGGCCAAACCAGAUUACCUUUGUGGGUGUUCUAGCAGCUUGUAGCCAUGCUGGGAUGGUUGAUGAAGGACUCAACUAUUUCAAACUGAUGCAAAAGGAAUACAAAAUUACGCCUGUGAUGGAUCAUUACGCUUGUCUGAUUGAUAUGUUUGUGCGAUCAGGACGGAUAGAAGAAGCUUUUGAUUUUGUUAAGCAGAUGAAUUUUGAACCAAAUGAGUUCAUAUGGUCUCUCUUGAUUACAGGAUGCAAAACUCAUGGGAACAAAGAACUGGGUUUUUUUGCAGCUGAACAGUUGCUCAAACUCAAGCCAAAAGAUACUGAAACUUACGCGGUAUUGCUAAAUAUGUACAUUUCUGCAGAGAGGUGGCAGGAUGUUUCCAGGGUGAGAAAACUAAUGAAAGAGGAGAAAGUCGGAAAAUUAAACGAUUGGAGCUGGAUUAGCAUCAAGGACAAGGUUUAUUCAUUCAAAACCAGUGACAAUUCGCAUCCGCGACAAGCUGAGAUGAACAAAUUGUUGGAUGAAUUGCUUGAAAAAGCAAAGAGAUUUGGAUAUGAAUCACCAGAGAGUUUUGAGGAGACCGAUGAAGAGGACGAAGGGAAGACAUCCGCUUCUACGGUUUACCACAGUGAAAAGUUGGCUAUUGCAUUUGGCUUGCUGAGUACAUCAUAUGCUGCCCCAAUACGGGUCGUCAAGAGUGUAACUAUGUGCAGGGAUUGCCACGAUUUCAUUGAGGUAGUCUCAUUACUAACAUCAAGGGAAAUAAUUGUUCGAGAUAAAAAGCGGCUUCAUAGAUUUGUUGAUGGACAUUGCUCUUGUGGAGAUGUUGGCACCCUUCUAUGAUGAGCUUUGUUCACUCAGUUACUUGCGAUUUUCUCUGUUCUAGGAAUCAUUCAACCUUCAAAUUUUAUGUGUCAUGUGUAUUUGAACCACUUGGAGAUAGUCUAGAAGGUGGUUCUCUCCGGACUUAAAGCCUACGGUGCUUGAGAUCGAGAGUUCGAACCAACCAGUUGACAUAUUUCUUUGUGGAACCAGGUUCCAUGGACAUGUCCUACUUCCUGACCCCAACCCGCAUGGGCUUCGGCCCAAUCUUAACAGGUUAAUCUGACGGCCCGAGAAUUACACCCACUCAGUUGUCUAAAUGACAUGUUGGAAACUUGGGCUGAGUGAUUCUUCGGUUAAAAAAAGGAGAAGAAAAAAGUCUUGUUCGGUGUUUGUAACUUUACAUUGUCACAUUUAACAGCAAAAAUUAUCAUUCUCAGUUGGACAACAA